rnacentral:lncRNA from 1 species
GCACUCACCCACUCUUUGAAUCAUGGGAGGGGAGGCCUAGUCCUAGGUAAACCUAAACUCUUUGAGGAACCACAGAGCCCAAGGCUGGAAACCUCCAGAAUCCUCCAGCCCCCGAUCCUCCCCGGGGACUGCUGUGGCCUGUCUCACCAGAGCACUCUUCUGUCUGUAGAUGUCUCAGCUGCUCUACAAGGGAGUCCUAUUUCAGGUGUGGGGCUGGGUAUGGUCACUCCUGCUGGAUGUCUAGAAGGUGAAAACCAAGGACCUAGGAAAAUACCAGAUACAGCCUUUCCACCAUCAUCCAGAGCAGGACAAACACGCCAGGUGGUGUCAGGAACCUAGGUCUCCAGCUGGAGGGAAUGUCAACCCUGCAGUGGGAGCCCAUCACACAUCCUAGGCACAGAUGCUAAUGUAGGCACCGCAGACCAUAAAGGAAAACAGCAAGAGGUCCCCAGCAAACAUCUACAGAUGGCCCUGGAUAUCAGCCACAUUCGGAGAAACGUGUCAUGUUCUGGGAGGACUAAGGCAUCGAGAAUCCCAGUGAAUAUAUUGCCACCAUCUUGGAGCUCAGUGCCCUCAUAGUGUAAGAGCACCAGCAGAUCUGCCUGUGCACAGACUUCCUGUACUACCUCACUCCUGAGGGGAGAUGCUUCUGCAGGGCCUGCGACCUGGGGCACAACUUUAGACACCAUCAUCCUGGAGCGGCACUGCACCCUCACUAGCCAGGGUGUUGAUGACUUCCUCAAUGCCAAGGCCACGUUCAAGAUUUUCGACUUCAGUGAUGCGUUUGUGCUGAGCAAGGUGGGCUUCUCCGGGAUCUUAAUUCAAAAGGUAGAAUGCAGCUUGAGAUCUAGUGUCUGAUCGAAGAACUUGAACUUGACCUGGAGGGCUCUGGGGAGCCAUGGAAGGUGCUGGAUAAAGGAGGGACAGUCAUAUAUGUUUUAGAGAUGAC